CUAUCUAUUGUACAAGGGCGCCGUCGCUGCAUCCGGGGCUUAGCGCCGCUAACAUAAGAUAGGC